rnacentral:lncRNA from 1 species
UUAGCUUUUGGAUUUAGUACUGUUUAUCAGGACUUACGAGGUUAGGGCCCUUUACCUAUAUUUAUAUUUUGGAAGUUGUGGAUGUUUGAUUGCAUAUAUGUACAAUGAUAGUUGAUAGUUUAGUUUUAUAUAUUAUGCUCUGAUAUAUGCUAGUUGUAGAAUCCUAAAAUUGUUACAGGUUAUAUAUAUUGGAGGCAUCGUAUGUGCAGAAAACUUUUGCACAUAACGGCGGAUCUGUUGACGCACUCUGGGAGCUUCCAAUGUG